rnacentral:tRNA from 1 species
GCUCAGAUAAUUUAUACAAAAUAUAAUACUGAAGAUAUUAACAAGACUCUCCGUCUCUGAGCA